CGAAUGCUGACAUAAGUAACGAUAAAGCGGGUGAAAAGCCCGCUCGCCGGAAGACCAAGGGUUCCUGUCCAACGUUAAUCGGGGCAGGGUGAGUCGACCCCUAAGGCGAGGCCGAAAGGCGUAGUCGAUGGGAAACAGGUUAAUAUUCCUGUACUUGGUGUUACUGCGAAGGGGGGACGGAGAAGGCUAUGUUGGCCGGGCGACGGUUGUCCCGGUUUAAGCGUGUAGGCUGGUUUUCCAGGCAAAUCCGGAAAAUCAAGGCUGAGGCGUGAUGACGAGGCACUACGGUGCUGAAGCAACAAAUGCCCUGCUUCCAGGAAAAGCCUCUAAGCAUCAGGUAACAUCAAAUCGUACCCCAAACCGACACAGGUGGUCAGGUAGAGAAUACCAAGGCGCUUGAGAGAACUCGGGUGAAGGAACUAGGCAAAAUGGUGCCGUAACUUCGGGAGAAGGCACGCUGAUAUGUAGGUGAAGCGACUUGCUCGUGGAGCUGAAAUCAGUCGAAGAUACCAGCUGGCUGCAACUGUUUAUUAAAAACACAGCACUGUGCAAACACGAAAGUGGACGUAUACGGUGUGACGCCUGCCCGGUGCCGGAAGGUUAAUUGAUGGGGUUAGCGGUAACGCGAAGCUCUUGAUCGAAGCCCCGGUAAACGGCGGCCGUAACUAUAACGGUCCUAAGGUAGCGAAAUUCCUUGUCGGGUAAGUUCCGACCUGCACGAAUGGCGUAAUGAUGGCCAGGCUGUCUCCACCCGAGACUCAGUGAAAUUGAACUCGCUGUGAAGAUGCAGUGUACCCGCGGCAAGACGGAAAGACCCCGUGAACCUUUACUAUAGCUUGACACUGAACAUUGAGCCUUGAUGUGUAGGAUAGGUGGGAGGCUUUGAAGUGUGGACGCCAGUCUGCAUGGAGCCGACCUUGAAAUACCACCCUUUAAUGUUUGAUGUUCUAACGUUGGCCCCUUAUCGGGGUUGCGGACAGUGUCUGGUGGGUAGUUUGACUGGGGCGGUCUCCUCCUAAAGAGUAACGGAGGAGCACGAAGGUUGGCUAAUCCUGGUCGGACAUCAGGAGGUUAGUGCAAUGGCAUAAGCCAGCUUGACUGCGAGCGUGACGGCGCGAGCAGGUGCGAAAGCAGGUCAUAGUGAUCCGGUGGUUCUGAAUGGAAGGGCCAUCGCUCAACGGAUAAAAGGUACUCCGGGGAUAACAGGCUGAUACCGCCCAAGAGUUCAUAUCGACGGCGGUGUUUGGCACCUCGAUGUCGGCUCAUCACAUCCUGGGGCUGAAGUAGGUCCCAAGGGUAUGGCUGUUCGCCAUUUAAAGUGGUACGCGAGCUGGGUUUAGAACGUCGUGAGACAGUUCGGUCCCUAUCUGCCGUGGGCGCUGGAGAACUGAGGGGGGCUGCUCCUAGUACGAGAGGACCGGAGUGGACGCAUCACUGGUGUUCGGGUUGUCAUGCCAAUGGCACUGCCCGGUAGCUAAAUGCGGAAGAGAUAAGUGCUGAAAGCAUCUAAGCACGAAACUUGCCCCGAGAUGAGUUCUCCCUGACCCUUUAAGGGUCCUGAAGGAACGUUGAAGACGACGACGUUGAUAGGCCGGGUGUGUAAGCGCAGCGAUGCGUUGAGCUAACCGGUACUAAUGAACCGUGAGG
rnacentral:rRNA from 1 species